rnacentral:misc_RNA from 1 species
GAUGAAGAACGUAGCGAAAUGCGAUAAGUAAUGUGAAUUGCAGAAUUCAGUGAAUCAUCGAAUCUUUGAACGCACAUUGCGCCCCCCGGCAUUCCGGGGGGCAUGCCUGUCCGAGCGUCAUUACAACCCUCAAGCUCAGCUUGGUAUUGGGCCCCGCCGACCCGGCGGGCCCUAAAGUCAGUGGCGGUGCCGUCCGGCUCCGAGCGUAGUAAUUCUUCUCGCUCUGGAGGUCCGGUCGUGUGCUCGCCAGCAACCCCCAAUUUUUUUCAGGUUGACCUCGGAUCAGGUAGGGAUACCCGCUGAACCUAAGCAUAUCAAUAAGCGGAGGA